UACAGAGGGUGCGAGCGUUAAUCGGAAUUACUGGGCGUAAAGCGCGCGUAGGCGGCUUUGCAAGUCGAGUGGUGAAAUCCCCAGGCUUAACCUGGGAACUGCAUUCGAGACUGACAUAGCUAGAGUAUGGGAGAGGGAAGUGGAAUUUCAGGUGUAGCGGUGAAAUGCGUAGAUAUCUGAAGGAACAUCAGUGGCGAAAGCGACUUCCUGGACCAAUACUGACGCUCAUGUGCGAAAAGCGUGGGGAGCAAACAGG
rnacentral:rRNA from 1 species